UUUCCCCUGUGAAGGAGCACAAAGCACGUUGUACGGGUACUUUCCAUACAUUCCCUGGGCUGGCAGAUGACUACAUUUGUAGAUCAAUAUUGCAACAGAAAAGUAAGUUUUUGUAGUUAUUGACAAGUUAACUGUUUACGCUCUCCUGUAAGUGUACGGGCAAUGUACUUUUCAAUAGUCAGGCUGGCUAAUGUUUUAAAUUGGCUCUUUAUAAAAAUAUAUAGUGCCUGAUGGGAAAAAGUCUCUGGCUACAGCAGCAAACCUGCCCUAGCUGUUACCCAGCUAGCAAUCUACUAAUAGGUACCUCCAUGGCAUACCAGGGGCAGAAGAAUCAUAGUGGGUGAACAGAGAUGUGAUAUUGGCAUCAGAGCUGGCUGUGACACUUGCACAUUAUUCUUUAGCUUAUUAUUUACAUUAAUAGAGUUAGAUAAAUAACUAGCAUCACAUAACAGGGAAUGAAAGAGUCUAGUAGGAGUUGCUGGAUUGAGAUUUUUAUGUCUUUAGAUUAGGAAACUGUUGGUCCAAUGGGCUGAGCCCCACCUCCUCAAAGUUCACUGCUCAAAUUCAUCUAUUGCUUGCUGUAUGCUGUUAAGGUGUUGGGUAUUACUCGACACAAACCACAAAUCUUAUGCCUGCAAAUUCUGGAAGCAUAAAUGCAUUACGGUGGACUAAAGACGCUCAGUUCAGAUGCACAAGGGCUUCUAUGGCAAGAACUGUUUUCACAGAAUUGGGACCGGGUUGCAAAAUUUAAUUUCCAGCUGGAAAACAUCACCAAGCUCCGAUGUGGUAAGUGAAAUUAAACCCAGACACAAUCUCCCCAUGGUUUUGCUUUUAACGCAGAGGGCGGCUCUGCUUCCCCAGGGUCUGCGUCAAAAGAAACACACAGAACUUACCCGCUGGCAUUCUGUGAGCUUCCACCUGCGGGGCCGUCUUUGUCAACGUGAAGGCAGAUUUAGGUUCCUCUGAUAUAUCUCCACAUACUUCAUCAUCUUUCUGUAAGCUCUCUAUUCCUUCCCCUUCCUCCUCCUCCUCUUCCUCAGGCUCAGAGUUCUCUUCCUGGGAAUUCUCUUCUUCAGAAUCUCCUUCUUGGCUUAAACGCCUCUCUGUUGCAAGCCAAGUAAGCUUUUCCAUUGUCUCCUUAGAAAGCAACAACAAAACCAACUCACAUUAUUUUCUUUUAGGGUCUGUUUUCAUUACAUUCUAGCUCACUCCAUCAUCAUUCUAACAGCCAAUUUCGCAGAUCAGCACCUGACCAACUAGAGGAUUCUACUGAAGGGACAGAAUUCAACAACAACCAGAACUCUCACACAAAAUUCCAGAAUCUGACGCUUAUUAUUACACCUUAAGUAUUAUAUUACUAAGCCUUAAGUUAGACAGGAUUCCUUAACGAUCAUGUUAAUUCUUAAAGGCUUGCUGGAAUUGUGACCUGGAAAAUAAUUUUCACUUAAAGUACUUCUUACUAACUAACAGCCUCAGCUGAGGAAGUCCUUACAACUCAGCAGAAUCUGCAUAUUUGCAAGAUAUUCCUUUAGCUUGGACUUAAAAAUCUUCUCAGAAAAAAAAAUUGCAGUGUCCAGUUUCUCUGUAAACCGGCACAAUGCCACGCUAUUGCAGUUACUAGUCCAGCUUUCCAACUGGCUGCAAACUGUGCUUUGCCCCGACUCCACUAGGGUGUUUCAGGACACCAGUAUUUGUCGUUAGCAAGAUUUUUAAAAGUUUUGUUUGCUUUUACCUGAAGUUCUGGCACAGAAAGAAUAGAUUCUUCUGAGGCUGAUGACAUUUCUUCAUCCUCGUCUUGUGUAAAAUCAUCAAAGUCAUCUUCUUCCUCUUCUUCUUGCCCUUCUCUCUCUCCCCCAGCUUCAGGGCCAG